UACGUACUUCCUCCGUCCGAAAAUACUUGUCGGAGAAAUGCAUAAAAAUGGAUGUAUCCAGAACUAAAAUAUAUCUAGAUACAUCCAUUUCUCCGACAAGUAUUUUCGGACGGAGGGAGUACUAG
rnacentral:pre_miRNA from 1 species